rnacentral:lncRNA from 1 species
AGUUAGCCCAUCAGAUAUUCAUGUGAAAAGUGGGAAAAAGAUCUGAAUAGAUAUUUCCCCAAAGACAUAUAAGCGGCCAAUAAGCCUGUGAAAAGAUACUCAAUAUCAUUAGUCAUUAGGGAAAUGCAUACCAAAACCACCAUGAAACAUCACUUCACACCCACUAGAAUGGCUAAACUAUUUUAAGUUACUAUACUUAAAAAGACGGGCAACUAGUUUUAUUUAUUUAUUUUAUUUUCAUUUUUUAUUUUUUGAGACAGAAUCUUGCUCUGUCACCCAGGCUGGAAUGCGGUGGCGUGAUCUCGGCUCACUACAACCUCCGCCUCCUAGGUUCAAGUGAUUCUCCUGCCUCAGCNNNNNNNNNNGUGGCUCACACCUGUAAUCCUAGCACGUUGGCAGGUCAAGGCAGGCAGAUCACUUGAGGUCAGGAGUUCAAAACCAGCCUGGCCAACAUGGUGAAACCCUGUCUUUACUAAAAAUACAAAAAUUAGCCAGGCGUGGUGGUGGAUGCCUGUAAUUCCAGCUACUCAGGAGGCUGAGGCAGGAGAAUUGCUUGAACCUGGGAGGCAGA